GGCGCGGCCGUCAUGGCGGAUGCGCUGAGGCCUCGUCCCUAACACGCGUCCCAGGCGGCUCUGGGAAAAGGAGGAGGAGCCGCUGAGGCCGUCAUGGAGGACGGGUUGAGGCUCGGGGCCCGUGGCGGACCCCGAAGCAGGAGCUCCCGAGCCGCUCGCAAAGGCGCAAGUAGUAAAGAAACAAGUGCUUCAAAAAGUGAAGAGGCUUCUAGAAGGAAAGCUGAACUGGAGGCAGCUAUUAGAAAGAAAAUUGAAUACGAGAGGAAAGCCUUGAAUAUUGUUGAACAGCUUUUGGAAGAAGACAUUACGGAAGAAUUCCUUGUGCAAUCUGGGAAGCAGAUUACACCUGCACAUUACAAGGAUGUUGUGGAAGAACGCUUUAUCACCCAUCUCUGUGGUUACCCUUUAUGUCACAACAAGCUAGGAAAUGUGCCAAAACAGAAGUAUAGGAUUUCUACCAAAACAAAUAAAGUCUAUGAUAUAACUGAAAGAAAGUUUUUCUGCAGCAAUUUUUGUUAUCGAGCAUCUAAGUACUUUGAAGCCCAGAUUUCCAAAAGUCCAUUGUGGGUGCGAGAAGAAGAAAGACCUCCUGAUUUUCAGCUGCUAAAGGAAGGACAAAGUGGUCAUUCUGGUGAAGAAGUCAGGUUAUGUGAUGAGGCUGUUAAGACGUCGGACAUUGAAAAUCCUGACCGGUCGAGAAGCCAGGAUGAGUCUGGUUCCUCCAGCACCCACAGUCACAGUAGCAGUGAGGAUGAGCAAGAAUUUGUUUCUUCCCUUCUACCAGGAAAAAAACCAAAUGCGACCCCUGGAAGGCAGCAGCCAUAUCCAAAAAGCAUCCUGAAAAAGAGGCCUGGCCAGAAAGCAAACUUCAGACACCAAGACAAAGACCCAUCAGUAGCAGAUGUGGCCGAGCGAUUGAACAGGUGUACACUAGACAGCCCGGAGAAAACAGCCACCUGUGACCUUUGCUUACAAGAGGAAAAAACCUGUGUUUCCCCAGAUUUUUCCUCAGAAAAAUCAAAAGCCUCAGAAAAUUCUGAAGACGGUUGUGACAGUUCACAGGUAACUCUGGUAGGCAUAAGCAAAAAAGGAGCGGAACAUUUUAGGAGGAAAUUUGCAAAGUUGAACCAGCCUGCCCAGUCAGGUUCUAGUCCAUUGCAGGUGGAGCCUGGGAAUGCCAGAGCAGGCUUGUUUGAAGCCCUCAAAGAGACUUUGGUGGAGUGGAAGACAGAAGAAACGUUAACGUUUUUACAUGGCGAGAACUAUGUCCCCGUCCCUCUGACAGCCUCACCAUCCACUCCCCAGGCAGAAGAUGAAGAAAAGGGCAAGGAGGCCCCAGUGCCAGGGCUGGGGAGUCAGACUGCUGCCGUGGAGUGGGCGUCCCAGAACACCUUGGAUCAGUCUCUGCCGUUCAGUGGCUCAGGCGCUGCCCUUCACCCUCUGCCAAGUUACGAGAGCCUAAAAAAAGAGACCGAAGCCUUGAAUUUAAGGAUUAGGGAGUUCUACAGAGGAAAAUAUGUUCUGGAUGAGCAGUCCCCCAGAGCAGAAACCAGAGACAAGGGUGAUCCCACAUUUCCACUUAUAGAUUCAAGUUCUCAGAACCAGAUUAGAAGACGCAUUGUACUUGAAAAAUUGACUAAAGUAUUGCCUGGAAUUUUGGGUCCUCUUCAGGUUACAUUGAGUGAUAUCUACACUGAACUAAAACAUCUUGUCCAGACUUUCAGGCUGACAAAUAAAAAUAUCAUUCACAAGCCUGCAGAAUGGACCCUAAUUGCUAUUGUAUUAUUAUCGUUGUUGUCGCAGAGGAGCCCGAUGCAGAAGCAUUCCCAGAGAAAUGCCGUGUAUACCCAGUUUAUCACCACGUUACUGGAAGAGUUACAUUUCAAGAAUGAAGACCUUGAAAGGUUAACCAGGAUAUUUGCGGUGAACUGUUUACCUGAAUGACAAAAGAACUGCCAGUCAACAUGGAAAACUUUCCGACGCCUUUCCUCUGGGCCCCUCCCCUUGCUUCACAGACACGUCCAUGGAGAGGCAGCAGAAGAGGAACUUCACUUCCUUCUCCCAGAUCGGGCACUUCAUCAUUUAUGGAGAUUCUGCAACUUUUAUUUUCUUCAUUGAAGUCUCAGCAUCCACAUCUGAGCCAGCGCCUGACUUGCCUGGGUCAGUUCCAGCCAGUGUAACGAUUGGAAUGACGUCGCCUGCUGGAGAAUUACUGUAGGAAAGCUCUGCCAUGAGGAGAAGGCGUCUGAGGGCAAGCCACGCAGUCAGGAUCUUCAGUCUCUCCAUCCUUCAGGUCUCUCACAGGCUGUGGCUGCCCCGCUCCCUUCUGGUGCUGCCCUGCUCCCUUCUGGUGCUGCCCUGCUCCCUCCUGGUUCUCCUCCUUCCUUUGCUGCAUCUUCAUCUUUGUUGUGCCCAGUGACUGUGCGUUCCCCAAGGGCCUGUUUUGGGUGGCCUUCUCUUCACCCUCUAAACUCUGUAGAAUGGUGCUGUCAUCUGCUCCCAAGCAUUCAGAAAUCAUUUCUAUACCAAUGAUUCGUGUGUGUGUGUGUGUGUGUGUGUGUACAUAUGUGUGUGUAUACAUUUAUACAUAUGUGCCUAUAAAUACAUAUACACACAUGCAUACUAGUUUCUCUAGAUAGAUAUACACACGCAUUCACAAAAAAAGAGUGUGUUUGUGUGUGCGUGUGCGCGUGUAUGUGAAUGUGUGUGAUAAUGUGUGUAUAUCCAAACACCCUUAAUUUCUCUUCCUAGUUUUAGUCUCUCAUCAACUGACUUUUGGCUGUCUUGAAGUGGAUGUGUCCCCUAAUCAUAAACUUAGCAUGUCCCAAAGCAGACUUUAAUAUUUGCCUCCCAAAGCUUUCCUUCUUCCCAACUUCCCUAUUACUGUCAGGGACACCACCAUUCCCACAAUCCCCCAGACUCACAACCUGGGUGUGUCCUCUACUCUCAGUUGCACUUAUCCCAUCUGUCCUCAGAUCUUUGUUUCUAACUUCACAGCAUCUCUCAAAUAUACCCCCUUCUCUCUGCUCAUACACCACACCCUAGCAUGGGCUCUCGUUACCAUUUCCCUGCCUCAAGUCUGUCCCCACUCCAUCCGUCCUCUGCCGGGUGAUUUUUCUAAAGUUCAAGUGUGACCAUCUCAUUCCCUUACUCUGUGUACUUCAGUGGCUCCCUAUUACCUCCAGGAUCAAAUAUAAAAUCUUCUGACAUUCAAGAUUUCACAGCCCGGCCCGUUGCCCCCUUUCCAGUCUUCUUAAACGUCACAACCUUAUCACACUGACCCACUUGCUACUCCUAGCACACAGCACUCCCAGACAUGUGCUUUUUCAUUGUCUGACCCCUCUAAGGCCAGGAAUUCUCUUCCUCCUCGCAUCCACUUCCUGCCUGCCUUGUUCUUCAAGGCUCAUAUCCCACCUUCUGCCUUUCUUGGAACCUCCUGCUGAUAGUGCUUUCCCUCUGAGAAGCAGCUCCACCCUGUAUAGCUUGUACUUACAGGGUUUCCCUGUUAGAAUGUAAGCUCCCUGAAGCCAAGGACAGUGAUUGGGGGGGGGGGGGCAUUUCUUUGUAACCCUAAUGCUUAGAGCAGUC